rnacentral:rRNA from 1 species
CCUACGGGAGGCAGCAGUGGGGAAUAUUGGACAAUGGGCGAAAGCCUGAUCCAGCCAUGCCGCGUGUGUGAAGAAGGUCUUCGGAUUGUAAAGCACUUUAAGUUGGGAGGAAGGGUUGUAGAUUAAUACUCUGCAAUUUUGACGUUACCGACAGAAUAAGCACCGGCUAACUCUGUGCCAGCAGCCGCGGUAAUACAGAGGGUGCAAGCGUUAAUCGGAAUUACUGGGCGUAAAGCGCGCGUAGGUGGUUUGUUAAGUUGGAUGUGAAAUCCCCGGGCUCAACCUGGGAACUGCAUCCAAAACUGGCAAGCUAGAGUAUGGUAGAGGGUGGUGGAAUUUCCUGUGUAGCGGUGAAAUGCGUAGAUAUAGGAAGGAACACCAGUGGCGAAGGCGACCACCUGGACUGAUACUGACACUGAGGUGCGGAAGCGUGGGGAGCAAACAGGAUUAGAUACCCUGGUAGUCCACGCCGUAAACGAUGUCAACUAGCCGUUGGGAGCCUUGAGCUCUUAGUGGCGCAGCUAACGCAUUAAGUUGACCGCCUGGGGAGUACGGCCGCAAGGUUAAAACUUAAAUGAAAUUGACGG